ACGAGGGGAGCUAGCGUUAUUCGGAAUUACUGGGCGUAAAGCGCACGUAGGCGGCUUUGUAAGUCAGUGGUGAAAGCCCGGAGCUCAACUCCGGAACUGCCAUUGAAACUGUUUAGCUUGAGGAUGAGAGAGGUGAGUGGAAUUCCCAGUGUAGAGGUGAAAUUCGUAGAUAUUGGGAAGAACACCGGUGGCGAAGGCGGCUCACUGGCUCAUUACUGACGCUCAGGCGCGAUAGCGUGGGGAUCAAACAGGA
rnacentral:rRNA from 1 species